ACAGCUUUAUGAUCUGUAUACGAUACACGUGUACAUUUCAUACGUCAGCGCAAUGAAAUUCAAAGUUGCAUCUUGUGUGAAAAAAAACAUAGUUGGCGCGUAUGAUACUCGAUCAAAUAUAGUGCAAACAUGGCUUCCGCUGAUGGUUCACUUUAGGAUCUUCCGAUUUCGGCUAGUGCGUUGCAAGUAUUCACAGAGUGCGGAGUGGAUAUAACCGCUUUAAAUUGUUGGACGGAACGGAAAUUAUUGAUGCUAUUUCUUCUGCCCAAGUAAAUUGGAAUACCAGUUUAAUUUGGGAAUGGAUUUCAAAUUGGCGGUGCCGUAAUAAUCUCAAUGGAGCGAUUAUUGAGUGAAAAUGAGAGUCUUCAAUUAUUAUUAUUACGUCACGUAACGUAUUCGUUGUGUAUAAAAUCGUGCUUACAGUUU